UACGGAGGAUGCAAGCGUUAUCCGGAAUGAUUGGGCGUAAAGCGUCCGCAGGUGGCUAUGUAAGUCUGCUGUUAAAGAGUGAGGCUCAACCUCAUAAGAGCAGUGGAAACUACAUGGCUAGAGUGCGUUCGGGGCAGAGGGAAUUCCGGGUGUAGCGGUGAAAUGCGUAGAUAUCCGGAGGAACACCGGUGGCGAAGGCGGCUUCCUGGACCGACACUGACGCUGAGGCGCGAAAGCUAGGGGAGCAAACGGG
rnacentral:rRNA from 1 species